CUGCUAUAAGCCUGGUUCACUGGAUUAUGAGACUUAAAGAUAUCGUAUAAGGGAACAGAGUUUUAUUUUGAGCAAAAGCUUGGAUUCUUGCAGAAGAGUUGACUUCAAAAAAAAACAGCAAACAAAAGCAAGCGUUCUGAAGUUUCCCUGCUUUCUGGAGAGAGAACGACGUGCCUUUUUGCAGGCAUUUCUCUGAAUCAGUUUUAUUGACACGGAUGUUUUCAGGCAUGGUCAGAUGUGGACCUUCUGGAAAUGCAGGAGGACCAAAAGCCACUGGGAGUAGGAAUUCCUAUCUAGAAGAAAAGACAUAGUGGAGAACUUCCAAGCUAUCUGCUGGCAGAUGCUGCUUCUGCUUCCUUAUGGAAAGACAGUAUCUUUGUUCCACCCAAUUAAAUAGAUACGGAAAGCCCUUCUGAGCUGAGCCUAGUAUGAUGUCCUGGAAGUCUUGCUUCACUGCAAAUUGGAGCCUUCAUUUGCACUCAGGAGUCUUGAGUCUCAGUUGAGGAUGACUAUGGCCUGUCUUAUGUGUGUUCAGACUGUGUUCCAGAUGAUCCCGUACCUCCAUCAGAAUCUCUCCCACUGCUCCCAUUGGCUCAGUCUGCAUCUGUACUGCAAGACAAAAGUUCAGAACUGGGUGCCAUUUGAAGCAUGUCUGUGCUCUUCUUUCACCUUCACAGUUCAGUGCAAACUCAGACAUUGCCUAUGGGGUUUCAGUAUGUCUUUAAAACCAGGAACUUCCCGUGCAUAUGCAGACAGAUGUGAAACUGAGGUAGCUUUCUUAUAGCAUCAAACCAAAACCAGCAUUAUUCUUCAGAUUUAUGAGCUCAUUUCUAACCCUACUUGGAAAGCAACAACUAAUGCUCAUUCAGGAGGACAAGGAAGCAGAUCGUAUAAACACGUGACAAGUUCACCUGCUUCUACUUGUAACAUUACUUGCAAAAUGAGAUUCAGAAUCGCAUAGGCUGUGUUUAUAUAAGGGUAAAAAGUAUGGUUUCAAGAUGUAGCUUUGAUUUUGUAUGCAUACAGUGCUCAAGCUAUUGGCACAGGCAAUCUCACUGGUAGUGUGACUAAAACUUGUGCUGAUGUUUUGCAUUCAUACAUGUAUAUGCAUUUCUUCUUAAUUUCUUGUGAGAGGUCUGCUUCUUACAGAGGUCAACAUACCCCUCGUUUUCAAGGCUGUCCUGUCUUGCUUCUUUUGUUAUUACAUUACAGCUUUACAGUUGUGUGUGUAUGCUUUGUUUUCUAUUUCUUUCUUCUCUUCUACCCAGUAAAAGCAAUCCAGGAGGAGAAAAAAGCAUUUCUGUCAUGUUAUAACCUGUGGGAAGAAAUGCAUGACCUGUCUUGCCCAGCACCUAGCUGCUGUGGUAAAAGCAGACUUAGUCAUUAACUGCAGAGUGCCUGACAAUUUCUUCCAGUAGAAUAACACCAUACCUUGUAAAGAGACCCCUACUUUCCUCUCUGGGAAACAGCUGUAAAGCAUGACCUUGAGCAUAGCUGUACUGGCACUUGUUAACCUGCUCCAUAAAGAGGUCCCUUAAUUCUCAAAAAUCUUGUCAGACAUCUUCUAGAAUUUGGGGAUCAUAAAUUAAGACUGGGAAGGGAAAGGAAAAAAAAAAACCUACAGAAAUUUACACUAGGGAAAGAAUGUCUUAACCCUAAUCUAUUCUUCAUGAUGCUGGAGAUCCAUGAGGUUUGUCUUUACCCAUCACUGUCCUUGGCCACAUAGGAGAUGCUCACAAAAUGGCACUUACUUGGUCCUUAAGAUGUAUUUGUCUCACUGCUCAUCAACACUCCUUUGGGGAAAAAAACCUCUCCCAUUGCUGAAAAGCUCUGCAAUCAAAUAUAUGUACUUUAUCACAGCAAUGGCAGAGAAAAUGCACUUCCUGCCUCCAUUCUACAUCAGGAUGCUGAUUGUUGGCUAACCGCCCUCACCAUCAAUUUGGGGUCCUAAUUUUAUAAGGUUCUGAUGGCUCUUUGUUCUACUGGGAAGUACUGUGGUUUCCUUUCUCUUCUUCUACAGUCACCUCCAAUUGCUCGUAAGGUACUUAAAAAAUGCAAGGUGUGGCAAUAAUUACUGAUACCUGUUUGAAAAUGUAACAAUAUAC
ensembl:lncRNA